rnacentral:rRNA from 1 species
CACGUAGGGCGCAAGCGUUUGUCCGGAAUUAUUGGGCGUAAAGAGCUCGUAGGCGGUCUGUUGCGUCCGCUGUGAAAACUCGGGGCUUAACCCCGAGCCUGCAGUGGAUACGGGCAGACUAGAGGUAGGUAGGGGAGAAUGGAAUUCCCGGUGUAGCGGUGAAAUGCGCAGAUAUCGGGAGGAACACCGGUGGCGAAGGUGGUUCUCUGGGCCUACCUGACGCUGAGGAGCGAAAGCGUGGGGAGCGAACAGG